UCGUGAGACAGGUUAGUUUUACCCUACUGAUGAAUGUUACCGCAAUAGUAAUUGAACUUAGUACGAGAGGAACAGUUCAUUCGGAUAAUUGGUAUUUGCGGCUGCCUGAUCAGGCAUUGCCGCGAAGCUAUCAUCCGCUGGAUUAUGGCUGAACGCCUCUAAGUCAGAAUCCAUGCUAGAAAGCGGCGAUUCCUUUUACCUCACACAAUUUAGGUGGAUACGAAUAAGGCGUCUUUUGGCGUCGCUGGACCAUAGCAGGCCGGCAACGGUGCUCUUGGCGGAAAGGCCUUGGGUGCUUGCCGGCGGAUUGCAAUGUCAUUUUGCGUGGGGAUAAAUCAUUUGUAGACGACUUAGAUGUACAACGGGGUAUUGUAAGCAG
rnacentral:rRNA from 1 species